CAAAACAUAGCUUAACAAAAGCCCCUCGCUUACACCGAAGAGAUAUCUACUCGUACCAGAUUGUUUUGA
rnacentral:tRNA from 1 species